CCUACGGGGAGCUGCAGUGGGGAAUAUUGGACAAUGGGCGAAAGCCUGAUCCAGCCAUGCCGCGUGUGUGAAGAAGGCCUUCGGGUUGUAAAGCACUUUCAGUGGGGAAGAAAGCCUUGGGGCUAAUAUCCUCGAGGAAGGACAUCACCCACAGAAGAAGCACCGGCUAACUCCGUGCCAGCAGCCGCGGUAAUACGGAGGGUGCGGGCGUUAAUCGGAAUUACUGGGCGUAAAGCGCGCGUAGGCGGUCUGAUAAGCCGGUUGUGAAAGCCCCGGGCUCAACCUGGGAACGGCAUCCGGAACUGUCAGGCUAGAGUGCAGGAGAGGAAGGUAGAAUUCCCGGUGUAGCGGUGAAAUGCGUAGAGAUCGGGAGGAAUACCAGUGGCGAAGGCGGCCUUCUGGACUGACACUGACGCUGAGGUGCGAAAGCGUGGGUAGCAAACAGGAUUAGAUACCCUGGUAGUC
rnacentral:rRNA from 1 species